UUCCCUCCGAAGUUUCCCUC
rnacentral:ncRNA from 2 species